UGAAUACGAAAUGCUACGGCAUUGAAGUGAUCUAUGCCAAGCUUCCAAGAAAAUCUCGUCAUAUCUUAAACAGUAGAUGCCUGUACCUUAAACCGACACAGGUAGGUAGGUAGAGUAUACCAAGGGGCGCGAGAUAACUCUCUCUAAGGAACUCGGCAAAAUAACCUCGUAACUUCGGAAGAAGAGGUACCCUUGAAAAAGGGUUGCAAUAACCAGACCCUGGCGACUGUUUACCAAAAACACAGGUCUCCGCUAAUUCGUAAGAUCAAGUAUGGAGGCUGACGCCUGCCCAGUGCCGGAAGGUUAAAGAAGUUGGUCAAUCUUUGGAUAAAGCUGGCGACUGAAGCCCCGGUGAACGGCGGCCGUAACAAUAACGGUCCUAAGGUAGCGAAGUUCCUUGUCGGGUAAGUUCCGACCCGCACGAAAGGCGUAACGAUCAGGGUGCUGUCUCGGAGAGAGACUCGGCGAAAUAGACAUGUCUGUGAAGAUGCGGACUACCUGCACCUGGACAGAAAGACCCUAUGAAGCUUUACUGUAUCUUGGAAUUGGGUUUGGGCCUUGCUUGCGCAGGAUAGGUGAGAGGCUAUGAAAAUGCUCUUGUGGGAGUAUUGGAGCCAACGGUGAGAUACCACUCUAGUAAGGCUAAAAUUCUAACUCUGAACCGUUAUCCGGUCAGAGAACAGUUUCAGGUGGGCAGUUUGACUGGGGCUGUCGCCUCCUAAAAGGUAACGGAGGCGCGCAAAGGUUCCCUCAGGCUGGUUGGACAUCAGUCGUAGAGUGUAAAGGCAUAAGGGAGCUUGACUGCGAGACCCACAAGUCGAGCAGAGACGAAAGUCGGCCUUAGUGAUCCGACGGUUCCACGUGGAAGGGCCGUCGCUCAACGGAUAAAAGUUACUCUAGGAUAACAGGCUGAUCUCCCCCAAGAGUUCACAUCGACGGGGAGGUUUGGCACCUCGAUGUCGGCUCAUCGCAUCCUGGGGCGGUAGUACGUCCCAAGGGUUGGGCUGUUCGCCCAUGAAAGCGGUACGCGAGCUGGGUUCAGGGCGUCGUGAGACAGUUCGGUCCAUAUCCGGUGCAGGCGUUAGAGCAUUGAAAGGAGUCCCCCUUAGUACGAGAGGACCGGGGGGAAUACACCGCUGGUGUACCAGUUAUCGUGCCAACGGUAAACGCUGGGUAGCCAUGUGUAGCGUGGAUAACUGCUGAAAGCAUCUAAGUAGGAAGCCCACCUUAAGAUGAGUGCUCUCACCGCUAUAAGCGGGUAAGGUCACGGUAAGAACAACCGUUAUAUAGGCAUUAAGUAUACAUGCAGUAAUGCAUUUAGCUGAGAUGUACUAACAGACCGAGGGCUU
rnacentral:rRNA from 1 species